rnacentral:rRNA from 1 species
UACAGAGGGUGCAAGCGUUAAUCGGAAUUACUGGGCGUAAAGCGCGCGUAGGUGGUUCGUUAAGUUGGAUGUGAAAUCCCCGGGCUCAACCUGGGAACUGCAUUCAAAAACUGUCGAGCUAGAGUAUGGUAGAGGGUGGUGGAAUUUCCUGUGUAGCGGUGAAAUGCGUAGAUAUAGGAAGGAACACCAGUGGCGAAGGCGACCACCUGGACUGAUACUGACACUGAGGUGCGAAAGCGUGGGGAGCAAACAGG